rnacentral:rRNA from 1 species
UGGGGAAUUUUGGACAAUGGGCGCAAGCCUGAUCCAGCCAUGCCGCGUGCAGGAUGAAGGCCUUCGGGUUGUAAACUGCUUUUGUACGGAACGAAAAGGUGCCUUCUAAUAAAGGGCGCUCAUGACGGUACCGUAAGAAUAAGCACCGGCUAACUACGUGCCAGCAGCCGCGGUAAUACGUAGGGUGCGAGCGUUAAUCGGAAUUACUGGGCGUAAAGCGUGCGCAGGCGGUUUUGUAAGACAGAGGUGAAAUCCCCGGGCUCAACCUGGGAACGGCCUUUGUGACUGCAAGGCUGGAGUGCGGCAGAGGGGGAUGGAAUUCCGCGUGUAGCAGUGAAAUGCGUAGAUAUGCGGAGGAACACCGAUGGCGAAGGCAAUCCCCUGGGCCUGCACUGACGCUCAUGCACGAAAGCGUGGGGAGCAAACA